GACGUAGGAUGCGAGCGUUGUCCGGAUUUAUUGGGCGUAAAGAGUUCGUAGGCGGUUUGUUAAGUCUGAUGUUAAAGAACGAGGCUCAACCUCGGAGAUGCAUUGGAAACUGGCAGACUGGAGUGUGGUAGAGGCGAGCGGAAUUCCCAGUGUAGCGGUGAAAUGCGUAGAUAUUGGGAAGAACACCGGUGGCGCAAGCGGCUCGCUGGGCCACAACUGACGCUGAGGAACGAAAGCUAGGGGAGCGAAUGGG
rnacentral:rRNA from 1 species